AUCAAUCUCGCACAACGCUGCCCCCCCCCCUCCCCCCACAUCGAAGGGAACCCGAUGCUAAAUGAAUAGCCCAUUCGCCGCGAGACGGACAGGAGAGGUGUCUGCGAAUCGGUCAGGUCGAUUUUGUCGGGAGUCUCCGUUCACCGGCAAGAUGCAGGCGACCAGCCCCUUGCCUCGGCCCCGCUGACACGAGUGACGUGGCUGUUGAGUGCGCAGGCGGUGCAACUGCACCGGGGCCCACUGGUCGGAAGGACCACUUGAGCCUGGCUACGAAGAGGAGAGAAUUGUGUACAGGAUUGCGAAGACUGGAGAUUAACCGCAAGCGAAGAGAGCCUCAAUUUUGAAAAGCGACUGUGACAUUUGUUUGUACCAAUCUAUAAUCUAUAGCCCUUUGCAAUCCGCUUGGGGAUGGUGUCACCACACUGUGUGGAGGGGGGUGGAGUGGGGGGUGUUAGCCAUACUUCACCACACUGGUCAGUGCGAGUUGGUGAAGAGGAUCGGGCCCAGGACCGGUUCAGAUAUCACUCGCCAUUGAUGUUCAGCCGUGGCCCGGAAUCAACGGGCGUAGCCAAGUUAUGGUCAAACAACCCUGACGAGAAGCAGAGUGUGGAGUGGGCUUCAUCCAAAUAUACCUUCAUACAUCUUAUAUAAUGCACUGUCACUUAACCACACAUGUAUAUAUAUAACCAUGCUUACUGCCGUGUUGGUCAUUGUUUAAAGUUAAACUUUAAUGUAAAACUGGGGAAGAGUGUGUAAAUAGGACGAAAAGCUGUGUUAUGACCCAGUUACGUACAAAGCCGUUUCAUCAGCCUUGGGCAAUCCAGACAUACGGUGGCCUAAAAAAAAAUAACUACAGGAGACCCAGUACACAGCCACUGCAUAAGCAUAGCAGAAGGAGUUUGUGGCACCAUCGCAGGCAAUGGUAAAACCAAGGUAUCUGAUACAAAAAUGUCCUGCUGUGUGCAACGCAUAGGAUUGCCACCUCUAAGGUCUAAGGAUUAAGGAGCAUAGCGUGGAAAAAAUUAAUAUCUCACGAUAACAGACGAAGGGAGAAGUACAUUUACAUGGAUUGGCUUAUUAUGCAGCUGACAAAAAAAGACGUGGGAUUUUAUCUUUCACGAAGGCUUACACAUUUCACAGGACAGCCACCUCAAAGGAAUAACGAUCCUGGGAAAAUCAGGACACGUGGAAACCCCCUGGUUAGCACGUAAUAGCAGUUACAAACGUGGUGCUUGACAGUACUUGAAGUGUACUGCACACCGAGGAAUGACUUUCCGAGGAAUGGCAGAUGAUUUGACGUUUCAUAUCAUAAACACUGUCACAGGAUAGAGUUGGAACCCAACAACAAAAAUUCGCGUCAGUGAUGUAUGGAAAUGGAACCCUGUUCGAUCGUAUCAUCCACACAGUGUUGCAGAAUCCGAUUUCCGCCCGAACCUUGCAGAACUCAUGAGAGAUCCCGGUCAUACGACUGAAUGUACAACGCAACACUUGUUCAAUCUAGAAAAGUGGUCUGAAGACGAAUUUUGUAUUCUAUUGAAACUGAAUUUCAAGUCCCGGUUGGUUAUAAAGGUGGCACUGUUUUCCCUCGUACUACAACUCAGCAGAACCUCGCCACGUGUGUGGGGGGAGGCUGUAUUGGUGCUGUGCAAUCCCACUACCCUCGUGUGCCGUGUCUGCCUUCACAUGUGCUGCUCACGAACAGCACUUGCACCCAACAUACUGUCUUUGUAUUGACCACCGCCAGUGGUGGUUUGCACAAUCAACUUCGGCGCCUUGGGCACAAGCACCCCGUCUACCUAUCGUAACCACCGCUGAUUACGCAGCAUUCUAUCGAUUUACGCAAGUUACGUUGUCGGAACGCGUGUCCUUGCGCGUACCCAGAGUCACUUUGGAAAUUAAUAUCGUGCCUAUGAAAUUGCAUCUACAACGCUGAUAAUUAGGAUAACGAGCGUGUGGCUAACAAGAAAUAUAUAUUUUUUUUUAAUCGAAAAACCAUUCAUGCAAAUCAUCAUGCUACAAGUACAGAGUCAGUAAUGUCACUUUUUUAAUCACUUAUUAAAACUGUGGUAAAUGUUGUAAAUUGGUAUUUAAGGAUUGCACGAAAUAUUCGACGGCUCGUGGGGAAUGUGUGUUUUUAAAACGUAUUUUUUCUUAACGUAAAAUGAUUUAUGGAGACGGACAAUAAAGUACUGUACAGCUUAAUUUUAGCGUGCGCCUGGGCCAGUGUUCUCACACUGUAGUCAUCCUUUUCAUUUGGAAACACGGCGUGCAUUUAAUACGCGGACGCAGCGGCUUUUCACUCACUGCACCGGUAAUAACCGGGAAAAGGCAGAAUAUAAUCAGGUGUAGUUUUAGCGCAGAAGUGCAGCUUACAACAAAGCUUCAGGCGGCCUUGAGCAGACCGGAAGAGAGAAGACAAAACGAGAUCCAUGAAUCUUUCGCAUCAGCAUCACCUUGAACUGGCAGUAAUAAUGUCUCUUAUCCUCACGGUAAUAAUAAUUAUAAUCAGUCGCCAUGGGUUUUUAGAGGUCACUUUAUAGCUGUUCCACCACACAAAAUUCCUUAAGGGAGUUUAACACAUUGGAGCCAAUUGCGAAUUCCAUCCAAAUAUUGUCGACAGCAUUUAAGCCACAACCAUAAUUUGCCAAUUUGGAUGCUUUAAAAUCGCCAUAAGCAACGACUGUAUUCUAAGUAUUUUUUUUUUGCCAAAAUGCAAUCUAUGUAUUAAUUAUUAACUGCGAACCCUUUCAAAAGGAAUUUUAUAAUACCUGCUAAGCUUCUAUAAAUCUGCUGGGAAUGAUUUCUUGUUCCCCAAAUGUGCGGGCACACCCGUUGCCAUCGCGCUGGAGAGCGGCAAUUUCUCCCACAAGGCAAAAGCCGAAUUAUCUCCCGAGAGAGAGAGAGAGAAUUGUGGCCCAGCCAACGCUGUGCAUGCAGGAGAGUGACCUCCUUAGGAGAGCGGAGAACGCCACCGUGACCCCGAGUGAACCAGCGUCGCUUAAGUGUCGCUUGGAUCCACGAUUAAACAAAAAAAAAGUACCUUUUAUUAUUUGAUGCAUUUAUUUGUAUGAUUUUUUUAUUCACUUUAUUUUUUAUUAUUAUUUCUCUAUCUAUCUACGUGACUUUACCGAAAGAACCAAAGAAUAUGGGUGGCUUGUGUUUGUGUUUAAAUUGUUCAUGAAAGGGAAGCUCCUUAUGAUUAUGGUUUCAAAUAUGUUUUAUGGCAUGAGUUUGUAUUGAGGUAAACGGUGCAGCCCUGCAAUUGCUUGUUAGUCACACUGGUGGCUCUAUGGCCUCAGCUAAAGAGAGCCCCUCCGUAUUUGGCCUACUCUUCUGGGCUGGCUAGAUGUCUUGCGAAACGUGGGAGUAACCCACGCUUCACCCCAGCACACGCGACCUGCUGAUUGUCUCCACUCGGUGUACUUACUUAUAUAUUUAUCACUGAGUGGACAGAAGCUGCGGGGGAUUUUAAGAAAAUGUCUCAUUGUUCCAAAUGCCGCGCCAGGAGGUCCAAUGCGAACCUGCGACCUCCGCAAUUCCAGUGUGCGAACCGUUACGCCACGGUAGCAUCCCUCACAUUAAAAAAAAAAUCUGCCUUUGUAAAAAUCUGGAUGGGUUAUGUUUUCCCUGAAUUACUGACGACGGGAAGCCUUACUCAGUUUAACACGUAGGCUUUUCGCGACCAAUAUUAUUCAUAAUAAACGUUUUUUGGGUUAGAUCGCAUUUCAGUAGAACGUCUUAACUAUCAUACAUAAGCACAAGCUAAACACAUCAUCUUCUGAUCCGUAUUUAUCUUUUUUUUUAAUGCAAGCGUAAAUUGAAAAUGACACCGACGAGUAUUCAAUCGCUUAACGUUUAAUUGACUUGACCUAAUUUAAAUCCUCCCCCGCUUCCCCUUUCAUCAUGUGCACCGCACUUCAAGAGAUCAAAACAUCGGCCUUCGACAUCUCGAUGUCAAGGCGCAUUGUGUCGACAAACGCCGGAUACAAUAAUCCUGGAACUAGCGGGAGGUGGAAUCUUCCCCGAGAGGACCGUGCAAUUUGAAGAGCAAACGCUGGCGACGCCACCGCCGUCACUUUGUUUGGGGCUCGCAACAAAAAAAAAAGCUGUGAAUUUUUUGCGCGUUCGGCAAGGAACCCACGUCUCUCUUAAAAAUGUCACCGAGCGAGUGAAAGAGAUGAGGACGGAGGAGUGCGGUAGAGGAUAGCGCCUGGGCCGGUCGAUGGACGGAUCGCCGGCGUGUGACAAAGCCGAUCAGCGGGAUUCUGCGGGAGGGGAAAACCAAAGCGUUACCAAUUCCAUCCAGUCGAUGGGAAUAAACGUAUACUGCUUGGGGAUUUUUGUGGUGGUUGUUGUUGCUGUUGUUGAUGCGAUUGUUGUUGUUGUACAGCUAUCGCACGUGGUUGUUUUUAUGUCGGAUUGUACCCGCGCGUGUUGUUCGACGUAAUUUCUUCGCUCCACGUGCUGGGAGAUUCAAUUCCUCGAAGCUUCGGCGUUUUUUUAUUACGAAGAAGCUCCCGGCAGUAAGGGCGAAAUAUCAGGAGGCAUUGUGCCAAAACAACGCGCGGUACAAACCCGGAUAAGCAACAUCGGAGAGCAAAUACAUUGGUUGCGCUGUGCUAUUACAGGGAAACUCGUGCAGCGUCUUGCAACGACUCCGUAGGCACACUAGCCGGGCUGUACGUACUAUGUUGAACUUCUUUCGCACCGUACGUAGCAAACCAAGCUAAAUCGGAGGUGUGGACGAUGCGCGCUGCUCCACGCGAGGCGGAUUGUGCUUUCGGAACACGCUGCUGCGUCGGGUGGUGGCGGGCUUAACGACACAUUUAUAUGUAUGCGAUCUAACACCACCUCCCCCCCCCCC